CAGAUGGUUUGAUCAAGAGGCACGAUCCAGAGAGAGCCGUCCUAUCUCUCAGACUUCACCCCCAUGAUCGUUUGUAAAAGGUGAGAGAGUACGCAAAGAACCUACGGCGGAGCCAAGUUCAGAACAUGAGAGAGUGGAGAUGUCACGAGCGUUGAGAGAUGUCACGACUUUAGUUGUUGUUUCUUUGUCUUCUAGUUGUUGUAGAUGUCACGAGCGUUGAUGUAGCUUGUCUUGUAGUUGUUACGAGAGUGGUGAGGUACUGUCCUCUAGUUGUGUCAAAGUGUUAAUGUUUUGUCUUCAAGUCAUGAUUUUUAAUUUUGACUGAACAGCAAUGCAUCCAAGUGUAUAUAGUCUCAUAUUCUACUCUCAUAUCUCACCAUAUUAAUCUCAUCUCUCUCCUUUCAUCUCU